ACGCACGCUGGCGGCGUGCUUAACACAUGCAAGUCAAACGGAAAGGCCCUGCUUUUGUGGGGUGCUCGAGUGGCGAACGGGUGAGUAACACGUGAGUAACCUGCCCUUGACUUUGGGAUAACUUCAGGAAACUGGGGCUAAUACCGGAUAGGAGCUCCUGCUGCAUGGUGGGGGUUGGAAAGUUUCGGCGGUUGGGGAUGGACUCGCGGCUUAUCAGCUUGUUGGUGGGGUAGUGGCUUACCAAGGCUUUGACGGGUAGCCGGCCUGAGAGGGUGACCGGCCACAUUGGGACUGAGAUACGGCCCAGACUCCUACGGGAGGCAGCAGUGGGGAAUAUUGCACAAUGGGCGGAAGCCUGAUGCAGCAACGCCGCGUGCGGGAUGACGGCCUUCGGGUUGUAAACCGCUUUCGCCUGUGACGAAGCGUGAGUGACGGUAAUGGGUAAAGAAGCACCGGCUAACUACGUG
rnacentral:rRNA from 1 species